CAUCCAUCACUUUCAGAAUAUCAAGAUUAAGAACAUUUUGCAUGCUGGAGACUUGAUUGCAGAAAUAAAUCUACACAUAAGGUAGUGUCUGCUGACAUAUUGUAUCGUCUUUACUAAUUUUAACAUUAAAAAAGUCAUAUAUCUGGCACAGGGGUGCAAUCCACUGCAUCCAUUGACAAUAGGGAAAGCUGUAACACAAAAUAAUGCCUGUUUUACGGUUACUGCCCUAAUGUAACACUAUCUGUUCCUGUUACUUGCAGUCUUGUAGAAGUGAUUUCAGUGCUAGACUGACAUUUCUUAGAUCACCUGAGAAUCUGAGAAUAUUUCUCAUGCCUUAAUACUAGUCUACAUAUGUCCUUAAUUGAAACCGCCUUUCAACUUCAUCCGCCAUUUCUUAUAUCAACAAUUGCAUUACUAAAUGUAUUCAUCAAACCCCUGACAGCAGUCUUCAUAAUAACUAAAAUAACAGUACGCAUACUUAGAUAAAUUACAGUAUAUCUAGUAUUUUAAUGCAGGACCAUGAAGUGACUAAAACACAUUAAUAUCUAGUAGGAUUGAAAGAGGAACUAGCCGAUUAAUCUGGGGCCUGUUGCACAAAAGUAGAAUUAAGACAUCCAGGCUAAAUGGCUAAGCUGAGCUCAAUGAAGCCAAAACAAGUGCGUCCACGCUUAAUUGGUUGCACAAAGACCAAGCCAGGAUGAUCAGACACGGAUUCAUCAAGCCAGGUGAAACCAAUCCUGGAUAGGUGCGCGCUCACGGCUCACUCAACUAGGCCCUGCCACCGAUCACAGAUUCACCGAUUCACCAUGGCAACUCGCGUCGUUCUUUUUCCCGUCAGAGGCACAAAUCCAUACGAGGAGGUAAAAGACAUAAUUAAGAAGAAAGGCAACACCGCCACAGUGGUAAAGCAAAGUAUUGCAGACCGCCUGAAUGCGUAAGUAGUGCACAAUUACACACUCACCGCUCCGCUGAAACAUCACAAUUACAAUUAAAAUAUUUAAUUCACAUCUCCAAAAACGCAAUUGUACUCUGAUUAUAAAACAGUAAAUUUUUUUAUUGAAAUAGACUGCAAAUAUGAGUGAAAUUGUGUAAAGUAACUCCAUCACACUGGAUAAGGCUUCAAUAAAUUAUUAUGAAAGCCUUACAUUAUUACUACGCUCAUUAUGUACUCUGCUUCUUAUGUUGUCCACCGGUUUUUUUUGUCUUUUUCUUUUUUUCUGCUUUUAUAAAUGUAAAACUGCUUUGAAACAAUGAAACAAUUGUGAAAAGCACCUUAUAAAUAAAAUUGAAUUGAAUAAAUAGAUGAGCUAUUAAUAAUAAUCAAUUUAAUUUAUAAAGCGCCUUUCAAAGGACCCAAGGUCACUUGCUCAUUGCACUGCAAAAAAAUGACUUUCUUCGUGUUUUUGUCUUGUUUUCAGUACAAAUAUCAAAAAAUUCUUAAAUUAAGAUGUAUUAAAAGUUUUCUUGAAAUAUACUUGUUCAUAAACACUUAAUUUAAAACAUUUUUUUAUUCCAUUGGCUGAUAUUUUUGCUUAUUUUCCUAGGUCAUUUUGCUCAUCAAGAAAAUGCAUCUUAAUAUAAGAAUUUUUUGAUAUUUUUACUGAAAACAAGACAACAAUACAAAAUUAAAUAUGACCGGGCCAAAACGGACAUGGCAGCAGGUCAAAAUCAAAAUCUGCAGAAUGCAGUGAAAAAGAAUACCCAGAGACAAGGCACGGGUGGUGGGUCACCAAAAGCUGACCUCACCCCAGCAGAGGCCAGCUUUGGAGCUAAAUAAAGGCAGGCCUGUUGGAGGGAAUCCCUGGGGGAAAAAAGACAAGCAUAGGUCCCUCACAAGAUGCCACCCGCUUCAUACAAGUGUCUGGCAGCACUGUGUUACUGUUAAAGCCACCAGCACGAGCACCAGACGAUGCUGAUCCAGUGAGUACUCCAUCAAAGGCAUACUGUAGGCCUGGCAUGUCUUGUCUACUAGCUUCAAUAUGAAUCCGAUUAAAUGUGAUGGGGUCAAGGCCCCAUUUCAUCAGCACAUAACGGCGAUGAUGAUGAGGAGACCAUCUCUCUGGAUUCCAAAAGGCAUAAGGACCCAGAGUCAUUGGUGCACUGGACUGCACAAACAUAAGGAUAAAAGCCCCCUCAGGUGCCCAUGAGGCAGAUUUUGUAAAUAUGAAAUCUUUUUGAUCUUUUCCAUUGAACACUGGCAAAAUGGCCUGGCUCAGUCCAUGACUACAGAAUCUUUUGGACCUCUGAAAUCUAUCAGCGCCUAUCACAAGGUGAAUUCUCUGGUGUGUUGCUGGUAGACAGGGGGUAAGGCUGCCAGCCGUUUUUCCUGACACCUUUCACAGACCCCCAGGAAGCACAGCCGGCCUACAACUAUGCCCAUGCUAGGGCCAGAGUUGAAAUGACCUUUGGCCUCCUGAAGGCACGCUCUCACUGCUUUCACAAAUUAAGGGUCAGCCCUGUGAGGGCAUGUGACAUUACUGUGGCUGGUGGUGUCCUCCACAAUGUGGCCUGCCUGAGGAAGGAGAGCGCACCCAGAGGGCACCCAGA